CACGUAGGGUGCGAGCGUUGUCCGGAAUUAUUGGGCGUAAAGAGCUCGUAGGCGGUGUGUCGCGUCGGCCGUGAAAACCUGCAGCUUAACUGUGGGCUUGCGGUCGAUACGGGCAUCACUGGAGUUCGGCAGGGGAGACUGGAAUUCCUGGUGUAGCGGUGAAAUGCGUAGAGAUCGGGAGGAACACCGGUGGCGAAGGCGGGUCUCUGGGCAAUUCCUGACGCUGAGGCGCGAAAGCGUGGGGAGCAAACGGG
rnacentral:rRNA from 1 species